GCGGUAAUACGAAGGUGGCAAGCGUUAUUCGGAUUUACUGGGCGUACAGGGAGCGUAGGCGGUUCGGUAAGCCCUCUGUGAAAUCUUCAGGCUUAACCUGGAAAAGUCGGGGGGGACUGGCCGGGCUAGAGGACGGGAGAGGAGCGCGGAAUUCCCGGUGUAGCGGUGAAAUGCGUAGAGAUCGGGAGGAAGGCCGGUGGCGAAGAGCGGCGCUCUGGAACGUUUCUGACGCUGAGGCUCGAAAGCGUGGGGAGCAAACAGGAUUAGAUACCCUGGGUAGUCCACGCCUUAAACUAUGAAUACUAAGUGUCGGCGGGGUUACCGCCGGUGCCGCAGCUAACGCAUUAAGUAUUCCCG
rnacentral:rRNA from 1 species